rnacentral:rRNA from 1 species
AUACGUAGGAUGCAAGCGUUAUCCGGAUUUAUUGGGUUUAAAGGGUGCGUAGGCGGUUUGCUAAGCGGGCGGUGAAAUGCCGGCGCUCAACGUCGGAAGUGCCUCCCGAACUGGUGGACUUGAAUGACUCUGCCGUGGGAGGAAUGUGUAGUGUAGCGGUGAAAUGCUUAGAGAUUACACAGAACACCGAUUGCGAAGGCAUCUCACGAAGGGUUGAUUGACGCUGAGGCACGAAAGCGUGGGGAUCAAACAGGAUUAGAUACCCUGGUAGUCCACGCAGUAAACGAUGAUGGCUAACCGCUGGGCUUAUCAGUUCAGUGGCCAAGCGAAAGCGAUAAGCCAUCCACCUGGGGAGUACGACCGCAAGGUUGAAACUCAAAUGAAUUGGCGGGG